GAGGAAAGUCCGAGCUACACAGGGCAGAGUGCCGGAUAACGUCCGGGCGGCGUGAGCCGACGACCAGUGCAACAGAGAGCAGACCGCCGUGUAAACGGUAAGGGUGAAAGGGUGCGGUAAGAGCGCACCGUGCCGUUGGUAACAACGUGCAGCAGGGUAAACUCCACUCGUAGCAAGACCAAAUAGGAAUCCAAUGGGUUGCCCGCUCAGGAUUCGGGUAGGUUGCUUGAGCGGCAGAGUAAUUUGUCGCCUAGAGGAAUGAUUGUCCACGACAGAACUCGGCUUA
rnacentral:RNase_P_RNA from 1 species